GACGAACGCUGGCGGCGUGCUUAACACAUGCAAGUCGAACGGAAAGGCCCUGCUUUUGUUGGGUGCUCGAGUGGCGAACGGGUGAGUAACACGCGAGUAACCUGUCCUUGACUUUGGGAUAACUUCAGGAAACUGGGGCUAAUACCGGAUAGGAGCUCCUGCUGCAUGGUGGGGGUUGGAAAGUUUCGGCGGUUGGGGAUGGACUCGCGGCUUAUCAGCUUGUUGGUGGGGUAGUGGCUUACCAAGGCUUUGACGGGUAGCCGGCCUGAGAGGGUGACCGGCCACAUUGGGACUGAGAGACGGCCCAGACUCCUACGGGAGGCAGCAGUGGGGAAUAUUGCGCAAUAGGCGGAAGCCUGAUGCAGCAACGCCGCGUGCGUGAUGACGGCCUUCGGGUUGUAAACCGCUUUCGCCUGUGACGAAGCGUGAGUGACGGUAAUGGGUAAAGAAGCACCGGCUAACUACGUG
rnacentral:rRNA from 1 species